rnacentral:rRNA from 1 species
CUUGGUGGUUAGAGCGAGGUGGCACCACCCGUUCCCAUCCCGAACACGGAAGUGAAACGCCUCAGCGCAGACGAUACUG